rnacentral:lncRNA from 1 species
CGCUCCUAUUGGUCCGCAGCUGCUCCGGAUCCCGGAAUCAAAUCUAAACUACAGACGUGACGCUCAGCUGGAGCCGUGCAGGUAACAGUGUAUAAUAACAUGUAAACAUUCUAUUAUAGUAUACUCACUGUGUAUAAUAACAUGUAAACAUUCUAUUAUAGUAUACUCACUGUGUAUAAUAACAUGUAAACAUUCUAUUAUAGUAUACUCACUGUGUAUAAUAACAUGUAAACAUUCUAUUAUAGUAUACUCACUGUGUAUAAUAACAUGUAAACAUUCUAUUAUAGUAUACUCACUGUGUGUAAUAACAUGUAAACAUUCUAUUAUAGUAUACUCACUGUGUGUAAUAACAUGUAAACAUUCUAUUAUAGUAUACUCACUGUGUGUAAUAACAUGUAAACAUUCUAUUAUAGUAUACUCACUGUGUGUAAUAACAUGUAAACAUUCUAUUAUAGUAUACUCACUGUGUGUAAUAACAUGUAAACAUUCUAUUAUAGUAUACUCACUGUGUGUAAUAACAUGUAAACAUUCUAUUAUAGUAUACUCACUGUGUGUAAUAACAUGUAAACAUUCUAUUAUAGUAUACUCACUGUGUGUAAUAACAUGUAAACAUUCUAUUAUAGUAUACUCACUGUGUGUAAUAACAUGUAAACAUUCUAUUAUAGUAUACUCACAGUGUGUAAUAACAUGCAAACAUUCUAUUAUAGUAUACUCACAGUGUGUAAUAACAUGCAAACAUUCUAUUAUAGUAUACUCACUGUGUGUAAUAACAUGCAAACAUUCUAUUAUAGUAUACUCACUGUGUGUAAUAACAUGUAAACAUUCUAUUAUAUUAUACUCACUGUGUGUAAUAACAUGUAAACAUUCUAUUAUAUUGUACUCACAGUGUAUAAUAACAUGUAAACAUUCUAUUAUAUUGUACUCACAGUGUAUAAUAACAUGUAAACAUUCUAUUAUAUUGUACUCACAGUGUAUAAUAACAUGUAAACAUUCUAUUAUAUUAUACUCACUGUGUAUAAUAACAUGUAAACAUUCUAUUAUAUUAUACUCACUGUGUAUAAUAACAUGUAAACAUUCUAUUAUAUUAUACUCACUGUGUAUAAUAACAUGUAAACAUUCUAUUAUAUUAUACUCACAGUGUAUAAUAACAUGUAAACAUUAUAUUAUACUUACUGUGUAUAAUAACAUGUAAACAUUAUAUUAUACUCACUGUGUAUAAUAACAUGUAAACAUUAUGUUAUAUUGUACUCACAGUGUAUAAUAACAUGUAAAUAUUAUAUUAUACUCACAGUGUAUAAUAACAUGUAAACAAUAUAUUAUACUCAGUGUAUAAUAACAUGUAAACAUUAUAUUAUAUUAUACUCACUGUGUACAAUAACGUGUGUGUGUGUGUGUGUAUAUAUAUAUAUAUAUAUAUAUAUAUAUAAAUAAUAUUAUACCAAAUACAAUGUACUCACUGUGUACAAUAACAUGUAUAUAUAUUAUACCAUAAACAAUGUACUCACUGUGUACAAUAACAUGUGUAUAUAUAUUAUACCAUAAACAAUGUACUCACCGUGUACAAUAACGUGUGUGUAUAUAUAUUAUACCAUAUACAAUGUACUCACUGUGUACAAUAACAUGUAUAAUGUAUUUACUGCAAUACAAUAAGAACAUUGAGCGCAUUUACUUUAUACUAUGACAUGUACAAUUUGUAAAUUAUACAAUGCCAUGUUUGUAGUGUACUCACUCUAUACAAUUUAUAUACAAUUUAUUUACUGAAUGCUACAAAAUAUGUAGAAUUUAUAUACUGUAUGCACUAUACUGUAUAUACUGUAUGACGUGCACACACUGUAUACAAUAAAAAGUACGGAGUGUACUCACGGUAUAUAAUAACAUGUAUGGAGAGUACGCGCUGUAUACAAUAAGUGUUGAAUACAUUUGCUGUAUAUAGUAAUAUGUAUGCAGCGUACUUCCAUUUUAUCUGUGAGAAGUCAUAUAUUAGAAUUGAAACCCAAAUGACAAAAUUUAGGUUAAAAAAGCCAAGGAGGGAUUAUAGAUAACUUAAAAUUUUUUCCAAAUCUGACUUCACCCGAAUGCUGUCAGUAGGAUUUAUUGAGCUGAAAUACUGAUGUUGGUAAAUGAACAACUGAAAUUGUGAACGGUCAGAGAUUUAAAAUAAAAAAAAAUAAAAAAAAUUCCAGGAGUUUAAUCUUUAAACACCAAAUUAUAGGAAAUCAUUUUACAAAGUUUAGGCAAGAAAUGGUUGAUUUAUAAACAUUCUCCAACCCUACCAUAAUCCCACCUUGGUUAUUUGUGCCUCAGUUUUCUAAUUUUGAAUUCCAUGCAAUACAAUUUGAUGUUUAGCUAAUAAACCAUAUCUUUCAGUAAAGCAUUAAAAGGACACUCUACACCAUAACACCUUCAGUAUUCCCCAGUGGGCGAUAACAAGUGUCCCAUGGCACCUUCCCAGGGGUAACUGUCAAAAAGUUUGACAUUUACCUGCUAGUGUUGGGCACCCAUGGACCUUCUGAUAUGCACAACCAAUCAGCACGCCACUAAAGCAGUGUGCUAAUACAUAAGUAUGAGCAACUGAUUUAGCAUAGCCGUGUAGCAUUGAAGGACUGAGGGCACCCAACAGCCAGGUGGAUGCCAAACUGUUUGUAAAUGGUUCGGUUGCUUACCUAAAGUGUGCUCUUUAAGUAUCUUUAACAUUAAAAAGAAAAAAAAAUCAAACUUUUGUGUUUUUAUAUAUUUUAGGAAUCUGAAGGAGAUGGAAAACUUGGGAGAGGAAGAUUUCAGUCUAUCAAUGUAAGUCUUUAAAUUGAACAGUGCUCCAAAUAUUCCAAGUCCUAGCAUUCAGUUUAUAUUUAAAAUCCACCUCAUUUAGUUACCACAUUCUAUUGGAAGGGAUACCUGGGUCCCUGAGGAGCAGUCUUCCCUUGCUUCUUGGUGAAGUUAUGGUACAGGACAUAGAUGUAUGUGACAGUGCUGCCUCUUGUAUUAUACCCAUUACACAGUACCACAAAGGAACCAGAGAGAGGGGUGUCUAGUGAUCCUACCACACACUGUAUCUGCAUCUGGAGGAAAAUGCCCUCUCAUGGCUGUAGAAAUCCAAGUCUACUGUUCUAGUUUCCAUUUGCUCAUAAUGAUUAGAAAUUUGGAGCCCAGAGAUGAAUGUUUAUACAUUUUACAAACUAUUUAAAAUGCUUGUAAAGGGACUAAGUAUUAGUAAUAGGACAGCAUAAAUCAGGACACCCACCUCUGGUACUCCGUUCCGAGGUGUUCGCCAACCUCACACAAAUCCAAUAACAGUAAAGGGAAACAGCACCAAUGAGACAGUGUAAAAUUCAAAACUUUAUUCUGGCAUAUUUUUCAAUAGAUUUCUGCUUUGAUUAUGUCAUGAUUAACCUCUUCUUUUCCAAGCACUUUGCCAAAAAAAAUAAAAAACACGCUAUAGUCCGAAUAUUUAGGGUGUCCUGGAAAGAAAUGUUCAAAUUUUAUAUUUUUGUUUUAGUAUGCUUAGACAGUGCAUUUUUUCAUGGAAACGCAAACAAAAAUUGCUAAGCUGAAACACGGUGUUAUAAUAUUACAAUAUACGUUGUCACUUUGCCUAUACUGUAUCACCCUCAUUGUAGCCACAUUGCCUCUUAGGACACACAAUAAUACGUGCAAAACCAUAUACCUAUUGAUACAUGCACACAUAUACACACUCAUGCGCAAACAUAGAGAUACCAGAAAGACAAACACAGGAUACUCAGUGCCACACACGGAUCUACAUUUGCAGUAUUAUAUAUAUAUACAUAUGCAUACCCACACAUGCACACUCACACUCACUACUCUUCCCUGCCAACCACCCUCCGAUUACCUUCUUUUCUGGCAGUGAGGGUGGCUGUUAUGUCCAGCUUUUCCAGCAGGCUUUCACAUUGUGAUUCAACGAGAGCAGUAGAGAAUGUGAUGUCAUGUGACAUCCUCUCGCCGCUCUCCGUGAAUACAGCUGCUGCUAAUUAUUUUACUUAUAUAAAAACAUUUGAAAAAUGGUUAUCACCUGCACUGGCCAGAUGUUGAUUACAUUACAUGAAAGCUUCAGUGACAUAGCCGGUUAUCUGCCCAGUAGCAAAGCACUCCACGACAAGACGUUGUGUGCACAAUUAUAAUGUAUCUGUAGUAUCUUCUCGUGUGUUGGUAGGAGAAUUUAUAGAUACAGUUAUUGGGUUAAAAUGGGUGCACUGUCAUGUUUUUUCAUCACAGACCACCUUUAAAAAAACUAUGUGGUAAAAAGGGCCACCCAAAAAAGGUAACUACUUGUCUUGAGAGUUCCCCUUGGUGCUGUUGUUAGUUGUUUUGUCUACAAGCAAACCUGACACACACCCAGACAGCAGGUGUUUAAAGGAUAAGUAGUGUAACUCCCAGUUCCGUUCAUCAGAUUGGAUGAGCAGUUUUGAUGUGUAUACAGAUAGCAACCAUAUCAUGACUUCUAUCAGUUUACCCUGUAGCAUGGUUGCAUAGUUAUCUAGGCUGAAAAAAGACUUGCGUUCGUUAAGUUCAGCCCUAACAUAUCUGUAUCUGUUAAUCCAUUAUUAUUGCUGAAAACCCCAAUUUGAAGUGAUUUGAAGUGAUUUCCAAGUUUGCCACAACUUCAAGGGAAAAAAUCCAGUCCGAUUUCUCUUUGGAUCAACAAGAUGUUAACUAACCUAUUAACUAUUAUAUCUUUAAAUAUUUAGUUUUUCAAAAAAAAACAUCCAGACCAUUGAUUUAAAAAGUGUACAGAAUCUGACAAGCAAGCUUUUCAUACACAGAAAUCCACAUCUUUAAAGUUUAGUGGCCCAGGUUGUGCUAAGGUCCAUGGCUCAGCUGUCCUAGGUGAGAGAAAGCUCAGACCAAGUUGUACAUGCGGGGUGCAUACAGUGUAUGCUAAAUUAUGUUAAAAUAGAUGUAGAACUCUCAUUCGGAUCUGGCUGAUUGAAAGGAGUCAGAAGUGGCUUUAACCCAGUAAAAAAAGCAACUGUCUCGGAUCUGGCAGUGUUUCCUGAUUAAACGCUGCAUAGACAGUUAUUGCAUUAUCACCACUUAAACAAGCAGAAGUGCUUAUAAUUCUAAGAGUAUACCUUUUUAAGUACAUGGUUGAUAUCUGUCCAAAAUGGUUAUAUAAAUCUGCUUCACAAUUAUGAGUAUUAUAAGUCACGUUUUCACAAAUUAAAUACAUAAUACAGUAUUGUAUAGUACUGUGUAGUAAUAUAGGUAUUAUUCUAGCCUAGAAUAAUUAUUCUAUUUCUUUUAUUUCAGAUCUUCCCCUAAAGAUGCAGAAUUUGACUCUGUGGUUGGACAUUUGGAAGAGAUUAUAAUGGGUAAAUCUAAUUUAAAUUAACAUGUUUCUUUAGUGUGGCUACUUCCAGAAGUCGCAAUUAUGUGUUUGGAAUGUGGGUUUGUAUAGAAUGUAAUGAUUGGACUGGAAUCAGAAUUUGUAAUGAGAGUGCUGUCUUUAUCUAGAACUAUACAAACUGACAGGUAACCAAACAAAUCAGGAGCUCAGGAAGACCUCUAAUCAUAUCAAUAAAUAUUAUUCAGCAAUCCACCAAAAUAAAACUGGCAAUAUUUCACACUGAUUGCUUAAUUUAUUUAUAAAAGUGCCUAUUUUUAAAAAGAGGUGCCAUUAAAAUGGAAUGAUCCUUACCUAUAGAGCACUUAAGCAAGCUGAAGUGCUUUAUGGGUGUGGAGUAGUGCGUUAGUGCUUCUCAUUGAGAAGCAUUCUGUUUGCCAAGAUCAGUAGUGCUGGUCUCCUGGCUAGCAGAGUGGAGCUGCAGCAGGUGCCUUCUCAUCAUUGGAUUAGGGUAAGGUAACUUUUUAUUUCAGGGGAAAAAAGGGAACCCAGUAAUCUAAACUGUGAAUACUGUCAAAUAUUGUGAUAAUGCUGGAGUGUUACUUUAAUAAUAUAUUAUAUAGCUUUGUAACGUUGGUGUUCUUUUAAGUGCUUGGUACUGGAGGAGUUAAAGGAACACUCUAAGCACCAUAACCACUGAAGCCUGCAGUAGUUAUUAUGGUGCUACUGGUAGACUAUGAAAAAUUGAUGUCCUGGUGGUAAACUGCAUGAAAAUAGUAAGAGGACUUUAAUUGGCACUUUACAGAAGGAUAUCACAAAAGAAAACUACCCACACCUCUUAACGCAUUUUGGACUAUUCAGUCCUUAAUCAUAAUAAUAUUGGCAUGGGAUAAUCUGCUGUGAUAUAUUUUCUAAGCAGUGGUGGGCUGCAAAAGAAGUUACUGGAAUGAGCUAAGCUAGUAUUGCACAACCUUGGCUCUUCAGCUCUUUCGUAGAGAAUUGCGGGAGUCAAAAGGCUGAAUUUAAAAAUAAAUAAAUAGAUUUUUUACUAAUAGCCCUGUAGAGAUAUAAUCUCUAGCUUCCUUUUGAAGCACUUGAUAAAACAGCUUGGAGCCCCAUCUGCAUAUUAGGAUGCCACACUGUCUUGAGUUCUGUGUGGCACAUGUACCCGGUCAGGUGACCUUUUAGAGGGGCAGUGAAUAGAUAUGCAGAUACCAUGGGGAUACAAUAUCACAAUGAUAUUUACCAAGAAAAGGACUUUGUAGGAAAUACCCAGUCUGCACUGCUUAUUUAUAGCUGGUACGGAGGGAGCUGGAUGGGGUGACGGAGUUGCAGGGAGUCCACAGGAGGAAAAGAUGGAGACCGAUAUGGAUGGGAGAUGGCUGAGUUGGUAUAAAGGAAUACAUGGGAGCUGGCAGGAAGCCAUGGUUGAGGGCUAACCAUUUCUCAUCCACCUAGAACCUCCACAUGUGUGCGGAUGCUUUCACAUAGUUUUGCUAGUGCCACGCAAUUCUAAUCCCUAAAAAAAUAUUCUGCCUGUUUUUUCCAAACCACUAGAACCCAUCAGUCUUUCCGUAAAUUGGCAACGUCGCUGUGCUAUGAAUAGACCCCUUUAAAUCCAAAUUACAGCUUUAGCCUUCAUUGGUCGUGCAAUCUCCUAUAUGUCUCGUUGAUUCUAUUGCAACUGAUCAUACAGUGCGCUCUUAGAUGUAAUGCUGUAAACAAUAGCCGGCCCAGAAACACAGCGUUUGUUUUUUCCCUUUCUUUUUGUUUUUUUGGCUCCUUCCAGCUGGUAAAUUUUGAUACUUAUCCCAAAUGUAACUGCACAUUGCGUUCACACACAUUCUUUCCGCGGUGACAGGUGUCUGGCUCACAGCACGUCCUGGCUAAAUAAUUCCAGUAUUGUGGCAAGAUCCUUCUUUGUUCUUUUGCAGCUGGCAUGCUGUAAACUGCUUAUUAUUCUGCUUUAUUUCUAGUGUCAACGUAUUCCCUAGUCCUGCAAUAUUAAUUUACUGCUGAAAGAAAACACAUAUUUCCUUUAUUGUUUGAUACAAUGGCACAAAAGCUAAGCAAACAAAAUGGAAUUUGUGAGAGUAUAUUUUCCAACACACCUGACGUGUUUCAGGGACAUAUUCUUAUUUUAAAAUCUUACCAGUUUCUUAUAAACCUAUUAUUUAGGCACUUUUUGCACAGUCACUAUUGUAAGACGUGCUGCAACUCUAAAUCCCUUCAUUCUCCUGUGCUUGUGGGGAGUCUUGCUUUCAAUAUAUAUAAUAUUUUUUAGGUUCUAUCAAAGUCUGAAAACAUUUACACCAGGGGUGCCCAAAAAGGAGAUCCCCAGAUGUUUAAAGGAUCACUAUAGGGUCAGGAAUACAGGUUUGCCAAGUGCCAAGCUCACCAUUUAGGUGGCUAGUCCCCUCUUAGCCCCUCUAUAAAAGUUUAAAACUCACCUUAUUUCCAGUGCCGUGCGGCUCCGCCCCUUUGUGACAUCAUCAAAAUGGACGAUUUUUAGCCAAUCCAAUGCUUUCGGCUAAAAUUGGCACGGGGAAAUCAAUGCAUCUCUGUGAGGAAAAUUCAGCGUCUCCGUGCAGAGCGUGGGGACGCUGAACGGCAGGGCUACUUACUGUGCAGCCCUGAGCCAUGAAGCCCCUCCAUUGGCCAUCUAAGUAGUGGCCACUUGGAGGUGACCCUAGGGGCUAUGUAAACACUGCCUUUUCUCUGAAAAGGCAGUGUUUGCAUGAAAAUGCCUGAAGGGAGCUAUUAUACUCACCAGAACAAAUACAUUAAGCCGUGGUUGUUCUGGUGACCAUAGUGUCCCUUUAAUAACUACAGCUUCCAUGAUGCUUUGCAAAGCAUCAUUGGAGUUGUAGUUCUUCAACAUUUGGGGAUCUACUUUUUUGGGCACCCAUGAUUUAGAUGUACAAUAAUCUUUUACACAGGUAACGAGCUGAGAUUAGGAGCACUGCCUUUAAGAGAGUGCUCCUAAUCUCAGCUCGUUACCUGUAUAAAAGAUAUAUAUAUAUCUAUCUCAUCAUAGUGUAACCCUAUACAGGUUACGAGUGUGCCCCUCCUAAAGGGAUGGUUAAUGGGGCCUAGAAAAUACAUGGUUCCGGGACUCGGUCCAACCUGUGGGCCCAAGGAGGUUGCCUAGGGUCACCUUAUGGUUCAGCCUGCUUUAGGAUUUAGCCAAGAGUGGCUUUGGUAAUGGAGCCUGAUUUAACUUGUCAGUCAUAAAGAAACAGAGAUUAAAGCUGUUUCCAGGUGGCAUUACCCAUUGAUACACCUUUACAAAAAUCUAAAUAGAUGAUUUGUCCUGUAAGUUGGAUACUAUGUGAUACUCCCGCUUUCAUGUCAGUCUUCUCUUGGAUAAGUUCUGAAAUACUCCUUUACUACCCGCUGUUGUGAUAGUUACUACACUUGUCAGAUUUUGGCACUCCGUAAUGACCCAUCCCAAUACUAUUAUCCAAUGUUUAGAUCUCUAUCUUUUUAGUACAGUAAUUCAAUGUUUCUUCUUAAGGUUGGUUCUAGAACUGUGGUUUAUAGCAAUGUACUUUGUUCUAUAUUUCUCCCACAUGGUAAUGGAUGUAGUACAGCCUUCCUACUUGCAUGUAUUUGAUGUUUUUAUGACUUAAAUAGUUUUCUUGAUACAUCAGUUUCUACCACUGUUAAAGAAAUCCUAAUGUUUCUGUUUAGACGAUGAGUUCCAGCUGCUACAGAGAGGUUUUAUGGACAAGUAUUAUAAUGAAUUUGAAGAUACAGAAGAAAACAAGCUGACGUACACACCUAUUUUUAAUGAAUAUGUAAGUGGGCUUUUUAUUCAUAUUUAUUUUUAUAUCUGUAACAAUUAAAGAGGCACUCCAUACACCAUGAGACUUCAGUGAGAUGAAGUUGUUAUGAUGUCUGGAAGUCGUGGGAUUAAACUCUGAGGGCAUGCUGUCCUCUAGGCCUCUCAGCUGACACUGGUAGGCUAUUACUGGCCACUCGUUCACAGAAAUGCUUUAGAAAGGUACUCAAUGGAAGUAGCACAGCUAAUUCCAGAUUUUAUCUCCUAUAAAUAUGGACAUUCACAUGUAGUGCCAAAAAAACAAACCCUUUUUCCUGGCACUAUAGGGUUAUUAGGUCCCCCCCUCCCUCAGGGCCCCCUUCGCGUUCUGUAAUACAGAGCUUACCUUAAUCCAGCUCCUGGCUUCCUCGGCGCUGGUGACCUCACCGCCUCUUGUCGGCGUCAUCUCCGAAUGUGCAUGCGCGGCAAGAGAAGCAAGCGCAUUCAAACCGCCCAUAGGAAAGCAUUACUCAAUGCUUUCCUAUGGACGUCAGCGUCAUCUCAGUGUGAUUUUCACACUGAGAAUCGCGGAAGCGCCGCUAGUGGCUGUCAGGGAGACAGCCACUAGAAGCUGGAUUAACCCUCAAUGAAAACAUAGCAGUUUCUCUGAAACUUCUAUGUUUACAGCUGCAGGGUUAAAACUAGGGGGACCUGGCACCCAGACCACUUCAUUGAGCUGAAGUUUUCUGGGUGCCUAGAGUGGUCCUUUUAAGGACCAGGGCUCUUGGAGAUGUGACGCCUUUGUGUGUGACUACAGCUUUUACCACAAUUUCACCCUUUCUAUUUAAGCACACUCAUACAUAUUAUAGAUCAUUUCCAUACAUAUUAUAGAUCAUUUUUUAAAGGAGAAAUAUAGCUUUUGUUUGAUACCCUAAAUAAAAAAUUCUCCCCACAGCUUACCUUUAGUAAUUUCUACAUAAUAAGCGCAACAUAGAUUCUCUAAUUAUUCCUGAUUGAAAUUCUAGACCUAUUGGGCAUUUUAACAAUCUAGACAUAUUGGCCAUUUUUAUAAGUUAAAAACAUUUUUUUUUUAUAAGUUAUAAAACAAAUAUUGAAAGGAGUGAAUUAAAUAUUAAAGCUAAAGCGUGCAAAAUUUAGCAUGCUGAGAUUACAACUUUUACAGCAGUCACAAAAUCCAAAACCACUACACAAAAAUAAUUGGGGCCACUAAGAUACAAGCUCCCUGUUUAUAAAGGAACACGAUAGGGUACCCUCUCCCCUACCCCCUUACAGUAAAAACUUUUUUUCGCUUUCAGAAUUGAUGAUCUUAGCCAGUCCAAUGCUUUCCCAGAGGAACAUUGCACUGGCUAAUCAGCAUCUCCUCAUAGAGAUGCAUUUAAUCAAUGCAUCUCUAAAGGGAAAGUUCAGCGUCUCCAUGAAAAGCGGGGAGACACUGAACGUCAUUCACACUAUGCAGCACUGCCCCAGGAAGCACCUCUUGUAGCCUUCUGAAUAUCUGCCACUAGAGAUGUCCCUAGGCAGCAAUGUAAACACUGCCUUUUCUCUGAAAAGACAUUGAUUACAAGAAAAUGCCUGCAUGCACAUACUAUACUCACCAGAACAACUCCUUAAAGCUGUAGUUGUUCUGGUGACUAUAGCGUCCCUUUAAGUUGUGAAGCCUCAGAAUUGGUAUUUAAAUGGAUUUGAAGGGCUUGCACGUAGCUCAUUUGUCAGUCUGGGGCCCCAGCUGACAGUCAGUGAUACCUGGGGCUCCUUGAUUUAGCAGCGAUUUAUCCUGCUAGUAAUUGAAUGCACAAUGAUCUUUGUGUUAAAGCUCUGCACUGCAUGACAGCAUACAUCUUCAUGUGGUUGUCAAUGGGUUAAAAAACAAAACAAAAGUUUUAUUUGCAUAAAUGAUGAUAAAUAAGAUGGACUUCAAGUCUUCAUAAGUUCUCUUCAAUACGUGAAAAUCUUCAUGACUUGACAAAAAUGGAAAUAAAAAAACAACCGCCCAAAUCUGUGAUUGUGAAUAUAUCAUUUGUAUCGCUGCUAUUGUACGUGGCUAGUGUUUCUACUGAGUGUGACCUCUUCUGCCUUAACUUUUUUUUUUUUUAAAUUUCCCCACAGCUUCUUUGUAUAAAGUGUACAGGAUACAUCUAUUAUUAUUGUUCCUUUUGCAGAGCUGCUUAUAUUUAUACAAUAAUACAAAGAGUUGGAUGUUUCACUUUUGUUUCUAUUCAUUUGUGAUGCUAACCAGUUUGUGUUUCUAGAUCUGUUUAGUGGAGAAGUUUAUCGAGGAACAGCUAUUGCUGCGGAUUCCAACAUUUAACAUGAAUGCAUUCACAGCAUCACUGCA